GAGGGGGCGGUCUAUACAUGCAAGUCGAGCGAGCUGAAUUCAAAGAUCCCUUCGGGGUGAUUUGUUGGACGCUAGCGGCGGAUGGGUGAGUAACACGUGGGCAAUCUGCCCUAAAGACUGGGAUACCACUUGGAAACAGGUGCUAAUACCGGAUAACAACAUGAAUCGCAUGAUUCAAGUUUGAAAGGCGGCGCAAGCUGUCACUUUAGGAUGAGCCCGCGGCGCAUUAGCUAGUUGGUGGGGUAAAGGCCUACCAAGGCAAUGAUGCGUAGCCGAGUUGAGAGACUGAUCGGCCACAUUGGGACUGAGACACGGCCCAAACUCCUACGGGAGGCAGCAGUAGGGAAUCUUCCACAAUGGACGCAAGUCUGAUGGAGCAACGCCGCGUGAGUGAAGAAGGUCUUCGGAUCGUAAAGCUCUGUUGUUGGUGAAGAAGGAUAGAGGCAGUAACUGGUCUUUAUUUGACGGUAAUCAACCAGAAAGUCACGGCUAACUACGUGCCAGCAGCCGCGGUAAUACGUAGGUGGCAAGCGUUGUCCGGAUUUAUUGGGCGUAAAGCGAGCGCAGGCGGAAUGAUAAGUCUGAUGUGAAAGCCCACGGCUCAACCGUGGAACUGCAUCGGAAACUGUCAUUCUUGAGUGCAGAAGAGGAGAGUGGAACUCCAUGUGUAGCGGUGGAAUGCGUAGAUAUAUGGAAGAACACCAGUGGCGAAGGCGGCUCUCUGGUCUGCAACUGACGCUGAGGCUCGAAAAGCAUGGGGUAGCGAAACAGGAUUAAAUACCCCUGGUAGUCCAUGCCCGUAAACCGAUGAAGCGCUAGGUGGUUGGGGACUUUUC
rnacentral:rRNA from 1 species